UCAAAUUCUAUAAUUAUAUAAAUCACAAUCUCCAGAAAUACAUAAAUAACAUAAGUCAUGCCACCAUUAAGAUUUUGGUUCAUGAUUAAUAAUUAAAAUAACAAAGUUGUGGAUACUAUAACCCAAAUUGAAGGAGCUAGUUUAAGGAGUUCUACCAAUUAGCCAAACAAAACGAUAAAAUUAUUCAAGAAUUUGCUUUGACUCACAUGAUAUAUACUACAUUUAGGGGCCUUUUUCUAUAUCUUAUACAUAAACCUCAAGUUGUUGCAAGCUUUUUGCCAUAAGCAAGCAGUAUCUGGCAAAGCCAUUUCCAUUUGCAAACAAGGUUCAAUCACUUUAAUGCAAAAGGAAAACAAGUGAUUAAUGGUUUCAAUUUCUCAUAUCAUACUUAUCCGCCAUAAUUCCAAUGUAGUUGAUAAUCUGUCUUGCAGCAGCCUCCAUCUAAAAAUAGAGAUAUUUUGUGGAAUCGAAAUUUUCCACUUGCUUGUUGCAAUACCAAAAAAAUUACUAUCAAAUUUUGUGAUAUUAUGUAGACAAGCGUUGAUAUGAUCUAUCAACUAAAUAAAUUGAUGAUAGAUUUAAUUAUGACACAAUUAAUCAAGGAAAUCACAAUUGUUAAAAUUUUAAACAUUUCAAUGAGAUUAAGAAAACAAGAAGAGAAAAUUAAGUGGAUACAACCCAUGAAAGAGAUGGAUUGUGGAAUCAUAUAUAAUGAUAAAGUGAAAUUGAAGUGAUAUAACUUGUGUUUAAACCAAGCUCAUAUGGAACCUUUAAAAUGGAGGAUUACAACUUGAAAUCCCAUAUCAUAGAGAGAGAGUAUAAG
rnacentral:lncRNA from 1 species